rnacentral:rRNA from 1 species
AUGACCCCAUCAUUCUGCUUGAAGCCAUCCAUCUCAGAAAGCAACUGGUUCAGGGUAUGCCUCAUCCACAUUGGAUCUUCUGUAUUUCUAGGACCAGCAAUGGCAUCGAUUUCGUCGAUGAAUAUUAUGGAAGGGGAGCGCUUCUUUGCUUCACUGAAGAGCUCCCUCACUCUUUUAGAGGCAACACCAUAA